rnacentral:rRNA from 1 species
UACGGGGGGGGCAAGCGUUGUUCGGAAUUACUGGGCGUAAAGGGCUCGUAGGUGGCCAACUAAGUCAGACGUGAAAUCCCUCGGCUUAACCGGGGAACUGCGUCUGAUACUGGAUGGCUUGAGUUUGGGAGAGGGACGCGGAAUUCCAGGUGUAGCGGUGAAAUGCGUAGAUAUCUGGAGGAGCACCGGUGGCGAAGGCGGCGUCCUGGACCAACACUGACACUGAUGAGCGAAAGCCAGGGGAGCAAACGGG